rnacentral:rRNA from 1 species
UGAGCAAUCUGCCCUUCUCUUCGGAAUAAGCGUUGGAAACGACGUCUAAUGCCGAAUACGACCUCCUUUCGCAUGAUCGGAGGUGGAAAGCUCCGGCGGAGAAGGAUGAGCUCGCGGCCUAUCAGCUAGUUGGUGUGGGUAAUGGCCCACCAAGGCGACGACGGGUAGCCGGCCUGGGAGGGUGACCGGCCACACUGGGACUGAGACACGGCCCAGACUCCGUACGGGAGGCAGCAGG